rnacentral:rRNA from 1 species
AGUGAACGCUGGCGGUAGGCCUAACACAUGCAAGUCGAACGGCAGCACAGAGGAGCUUGCUCCUUGGGUGGCGAGUGGCGGACGGGUGAGGAAUACAUCGGAAUCUACUCUGUCGUGGGGAUAACGGAGAGAAACUUACGCUAAUACCGCAUACGACCUACGGGUGAAAGCAGGGGAUCUUCGGACCUUGCGCGAUUGAAUGAGCCGAUGUCGGAUUAGCUAGUUGGCGGGGUAAAGGCCCACCAAGGCGACGAUCCGUAGCUGGUCUGAGAGGAUGAUCAGCCACACUGGAACUGAGACACGGUCCAGACUCCUACGGGAGGCAGCAGUGGGGAAUAUUGGACAAUGGGCGCAAGCCUGAUCCAGCCAUACCGCGUGGGUGAAGAAGGCCUUCGGGUUGUAAAGCCCUUUUGUUGGGAAAGAAAUCCAUCUGGUUAAUACCCGGGUGGGAUGACGGUACCCAAAGAAUAAGCACCGGCUAACUUCGUGCCAGCCGCCGCCGUAA